CUUAUACUCCCUCCGUCCGGAAAUACUUGUCCUAAAAAUGGAUAUAAUGGAUGUAUCUAUAANUAAAAUAAGUCUAGAUACAUUUAUCUCUAGGACAAUUAUUUUCGAACGGAGGAAGUAUUUC
rfam:Hordeum vulgare subsp. vulgare, WGS project CAJW01000000 data, contig: morex_contig_44097